rnacentral:rRNA from 1 species
AACCAUGCCCUUCGGGGCUCCUUGGUGAUUCAUAAUAACUUAACGAAUCGCAUGGCCUUGCGCCGGCGAUGGUUCAUUCAAAUUUCUGCCCUAUCAACUUUCGAUGGUACAGUAGUGGUCUACCAUGGUUUUAACGGGUAACGGGGAAUUAGGGUUCUAUUCCGGAGAGGGAGCCUGAGAAACGGCUACCACAUCCAAGGAAGGCAGCAGGCGCGCAAAUUACCCAAUCCCAAUUCGGGGAGGUAGUGACAAUAAAUACUGAUACAGGGCUCUUUCGGGUCUUGUAAUUGGAAUGAGAACAAUUUAAAUCCCUUAACGAGGAACAAUUGGAGGGCAAGUCUGGUGCCAGCAGCCGCGGUAAUUCCAGCUCCAAUAGCGUAUAUUAAAGUUGUUGCAGUUAAAAAGCUCGUAGUUGAACCUUGGGCCUGACCGAUCUGUCCUCCUAACCGAGCGCACGGAUUCGGUUGGGUCUUUCCUUCUGGGGAGCCCUAUGCCCUUCACUGGGCGUAGUGGGGAACCAGGACUUUUAC